rnacentral:lncRNA from 1 species
GUCCGCCUCAUCAGCUAUGAAGUCUGUGAAUCCUGGGAGAAUCAGGAAGUCGUCGUAGGUGAGGCAGUCGGCGCUGGCAAAGAGCUGCUGCGCGGGGAGCCAGUUAUCGGGCACAUAGUCGGUGCCGCCCCUGAUCAGCCAUGUGAAGACCAUGAUUGCUUUCCCUUCAGCCUUCCACCUUUGUAAGUUUCCUGAGGCCUCCCCAGAAGCAGAAUCCUGCAUAGUCUGCAGAACUGGAAGAAAAAGAUAAUAUAAAGAGAAGAAGGAGAGAAUGUUCCAGCAGCAAUGAAGCAACACCAGCUUUUGUGAGGACUGGUGCACAAAGACUCCAUCUAACAGCUACCCGUAUUUCCUGACAGUGACUCUGAAAGGUAUCCCAAUACCUAAAUAUACAGAAAUUACUGGAAGAAAUAUUCAAUCUGGUGUGAUAUACUAGGUGAAUGUAUCAUAAGAAUUUCUGUUCCUUACAAAAUUGUGAAUGCAAAGUUUUAGGAAUUAUAUUGGCUAUAUGAUACUGAUCUUUGAUAUCUUUGUACCUUAAAGCAAGAUUUUCUUAGUGAACACUGGCAUUCACAGUAUUGUUUUUUCUCUGGCUAUAUCAAGAGCUUUAGUUGUUUUUUGUUAAAUGAAAAGAAUGAAGAGACUAUCUUUCAGACUUAAAAGUUAAAGUUCUGUGUGCAGACUUUCAUGUCAUGUAGAAAAAGGAAAUAAAGGGAGUUA